AUUGAACGCUGGCGGCAGGCCUAACACAUGCAAGUCGAACGGUAACAGGAAGAAGCUUGCUUCUUUGCUGACGAGUGGCGGACGGGUGAGUAAUGUCUGUGAAACUGCCUGAUGGAGGGGGAUAACUACUGGAAACGGUAGCUAAUACCGCAUAACGUCGCAAGACCAAAGAGGGGGACCUUCGGGCCUCUUGCCAUCGGAUGUGCCCAGAUGGGAUUAGCGAGUAGGUGGGGUAACGGCUCACCUAGGCGACGAUCCCUAGCUGGUCUGAGAGGAUGACCAGCCACACUGGAACUGAGACACGGUCCAGACUCCUACGGGAGGCAGCAGUGGGGAAUAUUGGACAAUGGGCGCAAGCCUGAUGCAGCCAUGCCGCGUGUAUGAAGAAGGCCUUCGGGUUGUAAAGUACUUUCAGCGGGGAGGAAGGGCGUAAAGUUAAUACCUUGGCGCAUUGACGUUACCCGAAGAAGAAGCACCGGCUAACUUCGUG
rnacentral:rRNA from 1 species